AUGGGUUCAUUUGCCGUACACACAGCAGAACUCUCCUGUUCCUGUAAUUCGAGUGGUCUCAAAAAAGAGGUUGUCAUUGACUCUUUUAGGUGCGUGCAGUGUGGGUAUGUUUUUUCUCUUUCUGAAAGGAGGACAUUUCAGCGGACGGCAGAGAAUACAGAUUUAUGCCGGAGCGGUGGGGAAGGAGCCUCUGGCGGGUCAUCCGCAUUUAUGGGAGAUCGCAGAGUGCAAGCCUGCAAUCCCAGUCUUCUCUCCCUUUGCUGUCGCCGGCUUCAGCUGUACUGCUCCAAGUACUCCACCACUGCCCCAAAGAAAAAGAUUGAGAACCGCUGACAACUCUGAUUUCCAAGGGAAACCCGACACCCUAGGAGGGAAUAAAAAGAAAUGUUGAAAAGGCUCAAACUGGGUCCUGAGGUC
rnacentral:lncRNA from 1 species